rnacentral:RNase_P_RNA from 1 species
AGGGAUGAUGGGAUAGUCGUACGGCUAACUGUCGUAAGGAAAGUCCGAACACCAAAGAGUAUGAUGCCUGAGAGAUCAGGGUACAGUAAUGUACGGAAAGUGCCACAGAAAACAGACAGCCUGCAUGCAGGUGAUGGUGAAAAGGUGUGGUAAGAGCACACCGCGUAUUUUCGUAAGAGAAUAUGGCAGGGUAAACCCCAUCAGGUGCAAGACCAAGUAAACCUUUCGUUGCGGAUUACUCGUCUGUGUAGAAAUACCGAAAGGAGGGUAGGUCGCUUAAUUGAUUAUAGAUCAGAAAGAUAAAUGACUAUCACUACUCUAAGUAGUACAAAAUUCGGCUUACAAAUCAUCCCUUAUA